rnacentral:rRNA from 1 species
UACGUAGGGAGCUAGCGUUGUUCGGAAUCACUGGGCGUAAAGGGAGCGUAGGCGGAACGGCAAGUUAGGAGUUAAAGGCAUGGGCUCAACCCAUUGUACGCUUUUAAUACUGCCGUUCUUGAGUAUGGGAGAGGGUGAUGGAAUUCCUGGUGUAGCGGUGGAAUGCGUAGAUAUCAGGAAGAACACCGGUUGCGAAGGCGGUCACCUGGCCCAAUACUGACGCUGAGGCUCGAAAGCUAGGGGAGCAAACAGG